GUAGUUCAACGGAUAGAACAAGAGACUCCUAAGCUCUAAAUCCAGGUUCAAUUCCUGGUGGGGGCACAA
rnacentral:tRNA from 1 species